GACCUGAUAGCACAGUUGGUUAGUGCAUCUGCUGAAAAUAGCCGGUGGUGAAGAAUCUUAAGCAGAAGACCCUCGUUCGAUUCGGGGUUGGGUCA